UAUACAUGAGCCAUAUUUCUCUUUGCCCAUGCACCUCUCAUCAACAUUCUUCCCUUGACAAGCAUCACACAUCACCAUCAUCCUCAUGAUGCAGACAGCUAACAGCUACUGUUAUGUGCUUGUGUUAGCUGCUACUACUGCUACCUCACUAACUCAAGUUGCACAUCAUUCAGAUUCCAACAUUGCUUUGGAUCUGCACAUUCUUUUAACCCUGAAAUGUGUCAUUAUUUAGAAGGUUAAGAAAAAGAAAAAUUCUAUAUUUAAUUUCUAAGGUCGCGAGGACAACAUACAUUAUCAUCAUCAGCAUAUAUUUAUGUCCACUGCAGGCUGAAGGCCUCUCCCCAGCCAUCUCCAAUUACGCCUGUCUUUUGCUAAUCAUACAUCAUACUUCUUUAAACAUAUUCCGAGUAUACUUAAAGAUUGCAUGCUUUUGGCGCAUGCGAGUGCAGAAAACCCAGCUAGAACAGCACCAGAGACUACUACUUCUGAUGCACUGCAAAUCCUGAAAAUCUUAGUCCUCCACUUUGUGCUAAGAAUUAUGAAAUUCAAACAAGGGUUCAUGCUCACUCUUUGAAGUAGGCCAUAAUCAUGUUCCCUGCAUAGGCGUCAGUUUAUUAAACUGCCACUGGUGUCGUCAGUAGAAAAGCCAUUACAUCAGAGCAGAUGUGCACUGCAUUAUAGAGUUCAGUACUAGUAUGUUUACCUAGGUAAAUCGCUCACAGGGGACCCUGAUCAAGAGAAGGAAAUUUACAGAAGAAUAAUGGGUUGGAGUGCAUUCGGCAGACAUUGUCAGAUCCUUGCUGGAAGCUUACCAUUAUCAUUAAAAAGAAAGGUCUACAAUCAAUACAUUCUAUCGGUGCUGACAUAUGGGGCAGAAACUUGAAGACUGACAAAGAAGCUCGAAAAUAAGUUAAGGGCCACGCAAAGGGCGAUGGGAUGAAGAAUGUUAGGCAUAACGUUAAGAGACAGGAAGAGAGUAGCCAAUAUUCUAAUUGACAUUAAGAGAAAGAAAUGGAGCUGGGCAGGUCAUGUAAUGCGUAUGUUAGACAACCGGUGUGCCAUUAGGGUUACAGAAUGGGUGGCAGGAGAAGGGAAACGCAGUUGAGGACAGCAGAAGACAGGUGGGGUGAUGAAAUUAAGAAAUUUGCAGGUGCUAGUUGGAAUCGGUUGGCACAGGACAGGGGUAAUUGGAGAUCACAGGGAGAGGCCUUCAUCCUGCAGUGGACAUAAAAUAGGCUGAUAAUGAUGACUAGUACUAACACAUACUAAAAGGAAAUAUGAUGCCAGUAUAUGUGCAUGCAGUGGUUCAUCCUUUUGGCUUUGAACAGCCUUGUGGACUCUUAUAUCAAGCCUCUUAUUGAAGCACAUUCUUUGUUGCAAAUACAUUGUAUACCAAUAAUAAGUGUUAUUGAGAAUCCAGUUUUGCCAUCCUACAGUUUUUAUAAGAUAGUAAACAAAAUAAUAAUUCAGAAUAUAAAAAACAACUACACGUGGUGAGGGUCAGUUGCUAAAUGUCAUCUAGAUUUAGUGACACGCAUACUCGAACGUGUAGCAAUAUAUUUAUGCAUUGGAAAUUUCACAAUUAAUUGUCAACUUAAACGUUUAACUGCUGUAAAGAAACAUUGUGACAAUAGCAAACAGCACAAUUGAAACACAACAUAAGAAGCUGCAAUGAGCUUUUUUGAUAAAUCGAUGCCAAAUUGUAGAAAAUUUGUAUAGCACCCAUUAUUCGCAUGAACGCGGUAUGAUUGCAACACCAAAUUUUCGUCUAAUAAUCUUGAUAUGAAACUCUUACGUGGUGCAUUAGUGCACAGUGUGUGCACUAAUGCACAGUGUUCCCGCACAUGUUCCCACAGUGACAUCACAAUGCACUGGUCGUAAGAGACAUUGUCCAAGUUGUGUUAUCAGAUGCGGUGGGCAUAAAAGGGCACAACUAGGAGCAAAGAUUCACCAUCUAGCAAAACUAAAACAAAAACAUUGGAACAUGUGCUGCUGUGAUGAAAGCCUCAGAAUUGGCUCACAGUUGCCCAAGCUCUCGGAUCUGUGCAGUGGGCAGGGAGAAGUUGCAAUGACGAGUGGCAUGCUCGGCUGAAAAGCUUUUUAACAUAUACUGGUCAAGUAACAUAUCCCUGCAGGAAUUUCCAGAAAAGUGAAGUAGCAAGUCUGCUAUGUCACCUUCUCAAAUUCCUGCAGGUAUGCAUUUUUUUUUAAAUCGGUGCAUGUAAAAGCUUUGCGUUAUCAUAAAUUUCAGCAGGAAUAUAUUGAUCUGAUGAAUGUAAAAGCGUCUCGAGACUGAGGCAACACAGUUUUGUCUAUGUAGAUUUGCCUUGCAGCUCAUAAACAAGGCUUUGUGAAAGAACAAUACAUGGCAUGCUGGUGCAUUUUGCCAGUUUUGCAACAGGUAUAUUUUGAGACUUCUGCUAGUGUCGUGAUUUAUACAGUGCUUAAAGUCAUGGGGGGCCCGGAGGGGGGGGGGGAAUCCGAUCCCCCCUCCGCAGGUCAACUGUAGCACUGCAGCACCCAUAUGACAAGCACUGGAGGUGAUUUUAUUACCACUGGUGCCUUGUGCGGGGAAAUAUUAACUCCAAUUUAAUUUGUCGAUUAAUUAGUUCAUUGCAAUUGAUCGGUUGAUGUGGCAUAAGCAAAAAUUGGAAAGCAGGUAUUGUACUGAUGCAUGCAUUUGCACUAGGCACUGCACAUGACGGUCAUCACUCUUGUUUGAUUAAGAUUCUUGGCACAGCACACUGUUUCGUAAGCCAAAUGGGCGCGAAGCUACUUAUCAUAAAUUAGUGAAAUUCAACGUUAGUUUCUUUAGUUUACCAGUUACAUUUCACUUGUUUAGUUGUGCAUUACAAGUGCUGCGAGUGGCCAGUCGCACGGCAAUUUUGCCUGUAUUCACGAGCUUCUUUCACACUUGGAAAAACACUUUUAUGUAGCACAUAUUGGGCAACAGAACGCUGUAUCGGGAGUUUUUCGUGUCGCUCUACAAUUUUCUCAGUGACACUUUUCAUCUAACUAUAACAUUUGAAAAGUUGAUUAAUUAAGACUAAUUAUCUAAGGUGGAAUGAAAAAAAAAUAAUUUGAUUAUCACCAAGCAACAGCAAACAACAUCACCUUGUUUCUGUCCAGCUACGUGGCAUUUGCAUAUCUUUAAUGUUUGGCUCAAGUUACGUGGGAAACCCUGUACAUGUAUAUGUAUAUAUAGGGAAAAUGUACAAAAGAUUACUAACGUUUUGGCAGGUGGUCUUGCCUCCAUCAGAGUAACUACUCUGGUGAAGGCAGGAUCAACAUAUAUAAGUCGAAGAGUAGCAGCACAUUGGGAAAAUACCAGGAUGUUACUGAUGUGUCGAUGAGGACUGCCCUCCGUCAGAGUGAAGGCUGGUCCCCAGCCAAAGCGGCAGUAAAAUCCUGCUGUUUUUCCUACAUGGUUCUAUUCUUUGACCUGUUUCUUUCACUGCAGGAUCCUGUGAUUCAACACUUCACUGAUUACAUAUAAAUGCACGUGUGUGAAAGUGCGUGCACUAUUGAGGCCCCCCCCCCCCCCUCCACUGAAGGGAGACUAAGCCCUGGAUUUCUAUCAACAUAAAAUAAUCAGCCGGAGCCCACUCAAAUUUAAUAAGUAAUUAUGAAAAAUGGGCAGUUAGGUGCUUGCCAUCAAUAACUCUGAUAAGUUUGAUAGCAAAUGCUAAUAAAGCAUUACAUAGGAUAGGCACUAUUUGGAUUUGAGAAUUCAAUUCUUCAUGGCAGGCCUUUGGCAUGCACCAAAAAUUUCUUAUUAGCCUUCUAGAGCCAUCAAUGUGAAAAAAGAAAAAAAAAAGAAAGAAAGAAAAAAUUCUUGCUGCAAAAAGGUGCUGCAAAAUUUCAUUACGAAAUGAGUAAAUGUCGCCUACAAUUUGUUUAACCUUCCUCGUCCCAUCUUUGCCAAGGUGGUGGGUGCUUGCUAUGUCAUCUGGUGAUCUUAAACUCUUAUUAAUAAACAUUAACAUUUGCUAUAUCCAGAAGCGUUGUUGAAAGUUACCCGAAAGAUUGGAGUGGGCCAUUAUUAAGGCUUUCAGUAUUUUAGCAUAAGUAGACCUGCCUUGAUAACAUGUUGCAAUUGCAAAUUGCAGCAUGCCCCAAAGUAACUAGGUCAUUAGGUAACAAAUAGGUUAAUAAGUUAAUAAUCACCAAAUCAGUGUCCUGGGACUCAACAUUGAGUGGAAGGGAAAUAAUAGUGAAACUCUUAGAAAGCUCAAGACCAAGGUCACUAAUGCCAUCAGGAUGAUCAGGAGAAUCACGAACAAGUAUUAGGGAUUGAAGGAGGCUAGCAUUGUUAAGUUCAUUCAUUCUUUUGCUAUAUGCCACAAUAUUUAUGUAGCUGCGUACCUUGACUGGUACAAGGCAGAAAAGGACAAAAUCAAUACGCUCAUAAAGAAAGCUUUUAAGCAGGCCAUAGGCUUGCCCGAAAGCACCAGUACUGAGAGAUUAAUGCAGCUAGGCAUGCAUAACACCUCAGAAGAAUUGACUGAAGCUCAGCAGAUAGCUCAGUUGGAAAGACUAGCCAGCACCCGGACUGACAGAAUACUUGAUAAAUUACGAAUAAAUUACCAUAACCAGCAAGGACCCAAGGUUGUGUUGGCCAGAGAGAUCAGGAGCAGGAUUCAAAUCCCGAAUUUACCCAAAAAUAUGCACCCGGAAUUCAACCAGGGUAGGAGAAUGAGCAGAGCUAAACCUUUACUCAAACACUAUGGCAAUGAUGAGGAAGUGCUAUUUGUGGACGCUGCAAAGUAUUCAAAUCACUAAGCGUUUACAGCAGUAGCCAGUAAUACAAAGCAAGAAAGCGUACACACGUGCUGAAUUAAAGCCAGGGUAUCUGAGGUUACGGCGGAGGUUGCCAUCGCUCUGACUAUUGCUGCUUCCAUAUAUAGAUACAUUAUCAGCGGUUCUCAAUUGGCUAUACAAAAUUACGCCAGAGGACAGAUAUCAGUUGAAGCUGCAACUUACAGUAAAGCCAAACUCAUAUCAUCUGAUGGUCCUAAGCCUACUUUAUAUUUUGUUGUAAAAGGUAAAUUCUUGGCACACAAUAGCAGCUAAACUUCGCAAUGCAGCAUAAAAAGUGGCUCAGAAAGUUCUUUAUGCAAAAGUUUUACAGCACAAGGUCAAACACAAGAUGGUAAUGACAAGCUUGUCCAUGCUGAAAUUCUUGGAGAUAAGUGAACCUCCACAAAGUGGGCACUACAGUCAUUGUCAGGCUGCGCUACGAACUGGAGGAGACUCGGGUGCAAGCGUACCAAUGGUCAUUCCACGCAGAGGAAGGAAUUGAGCACUGCGGUUCAUCACCACCGGCCUGCAGCUCCCAGAGACCAGUCGGAAGUGAAGCAUUCAUCGGAAUGGCCUACAUCUUUGCUGCCGACACUGUCGACAAAGUUGCUCUCGUGAUUGCUGUGUUGGCCGGUAGAAGGGCUGGAUCAGCUUUCCCGUGACCUCCGCUUCAAAGCCAAUGCCAAGGAGAUAUUUGCAUGAUUCCAAGUCUUCUGAGGGAACUAUCUCGAAAAAAAAUUACCAUAAUUUUUCUAGGGAGACUGUAAAGUGAGAAAAAAAAUAUUUUGUGUUCGUAUAAAUGUACUGUUUAUUCAUGAAUAAAAACAAUAAAAAAAGGAAAUAAAUUUAUAAGAAUAAAAAAUUUGAUGCAUUGUUAUACACAUAGUUCAAGGCUUAGAAAAUGCGAGAAUAUUUCACAACUCUGAAAUAUUCCUGCUCCUACACUAAUAUUUACUUCCAUAGCGUGAUCGAACUGAGUAAGUGAGCACACUCAAGAAAGCUUUGUGGUUGUGUGCCCAUCAAAAAAGCAAAACGUGUGACAAACUUCUGCUAAUCUUCAUCUUAUCGCCAACCAGAGGCAAUUAGUUUUUGCGCGUCUCCAAAAAAGAAAA